GAUGAACGCUGGCGGCGUGCCUAAUACAUGCCAGUCGAGCGAACAGACGAGGACCUUGCUCCUCUGACGUUAUCGGCGGACGGGUGAGUAACACGUGGAUAACCUACCUCUAAGACUGGGAUACCUUCGGCAAAUCGGAGCUAAUACCGGAUAAUAUAUUGCACCUCAUUGUUCACUAGUUAAAGACGGUUUUUCUUUCACUUAUAGCUUGCUCCGCGCCGAAUUAGCUAGUUGGUAAGGUAACGGCUUACCAAGGCAACGAUGCGUAGCCGACCUGAACGGGUGAACGGCCAGACGGGAACUGAGACACGGCAGAGACUCCGAGGGGAGGCAGCAGUAGGGAAUCUUACGCAAUGGGCGAAAGCCUGACGGAGCAAAGCGGCGUGAGGGAUGAAGGUCUAAGGAUCGUAAAGCGAUGUAAGUAGGGAAGAACAAAUGUGUAAGUAACUAGGCAGGUAUUGACAGUACCUAAUCAGAAAGCCACGGCUAACUACGUG
rnacentral:rRNA from 1 species